AACGAACGCUGGCGGCAUGCCUAACACAUGCAAGUCGAACGAGACCUUCGGGUCUAGUGGCGCACGGGUGCGUAACGCGUGGGAAUCUGCCCUUGGGUUCGGAAUAACUCACCGAAAGGUGUGCUAAUACCGGAUGAUGUCGAAAGACCAAAGAUUUAUCGCCCAGGGAUGAGCCCGCGUAGGAUUAGCUAGUUGGUGAGGUAAAGGCUCACCAAGGCGACGAUCCUUAGCGGUCUGAGAGGAUGAUCAGCCACACUGGGACUGAGACACGGCCCAGACUCCUACGGGAGGCAGCAGUGGGGAAUAUUGGACAAUGGGCGAAAGCCUGAUCCAGCAAUGCCGCGUGAGUGAUGAAGGCCUUAGGGUUGUAAAGCUCUUUUACCCGGGAUGAUAAUGACAGUACCGGGAGAAUAAGCUCC
rnacentral:rRNA from 1 species